AUAUAAAUAUAAUAGUCAUUUGUUGUUCUGUCUCAACCUUAAUUUCUAUAACUUGUCAUCAUUCCUUUUAAACUAUUCUUCCUGGAUAUAACUCAGCAUCUCAACGGGUGAUGUUUCUCGAUUACAUUAACCUAGUAACGAUAAUCAUCAUGGAUCUUUAGUUAAAAACAGGCUCUUGCAGAAAAAGGAAAAGCGACACUGAAGGUAAAGAAGGAAUAAUUCUAGUAAACUAGUUUUUUUGUGAACAGAGUCUGAGUAUUGCAUAUAACUUCAUUAGAACAAUCAAAAAACGAUAAGUAGACUGACAAAUAAAGUACUGGUCUUCGGAAGGGGGCAGUCCUGUCUGCGUAUUCAUUUCUCCGUUUCACCAACUUUUGACAAAUCAAGUACUGGGCAUCGCAAGGGGGCAGUCCUGUCUGCGUAUUCAUUUCACGAACUUUAAACUUUCUCUUUACAGAUAAAUGAAAUAUAAAUAAUAUGAAACAUGAAUGCAUGGAUUAGUUUUUAUCCAUGUUUCUUUAACCUUAAAAAUUGAAAGAAUAUCCCAUAUUCCAAUUUGAUAUUAUUGAGGAAUGGUAGAACCUUUAACACAGGAUUUUGUCUUUACUUAUUCGGGACUACGGAAUUUCGUUUCUUUAUAUUCGGGGUUUCGGAAUCGGACACCCCAAACCCUAACCCUAAAUUUAUAGAUUCUGGAACUAAAAUACCACCAACUAUUUCCAGAAAUAAUUUGAAAUUACGGAACUACAUGUACAAACGUCAAAAACUCCAUUCCAAUUCCCCUGUACCCAUAUAUACUUACUCUAUAGAUAGAAUCAUAUACAUGUAUCUUAUCUCAUUCUAUCCCUAGUUUGUCUACUCUUUGUCAGCAUAAAAGCGAGUUUAAUAUUUUGUAACUGCGACUGUAUGAUGGUGCUUACAGGAAAGCUUAAUUCCCUUUUGCAAACAAAACUGUUACUACCGAUGCUGCUACCGAAUUGCUGAUGGAGAAGGAAUUGGAAAAAGACAUUGAUCAUUGUGUUGAUGAUGAUGUGCUACCUUUAGAAACACAGACUGCCCUGAAACAACUGAAAACUUGGAAAAGAGCAUGCAUGAGUGGCGAGAGAUUGUGCGGUCUUGUCAUGCUCCAUGUUCAUCGCGAUAAGGAUAUCAGCAGACCAAAUUAUGAUUCUGAAACGAUUUGACUGAACCGGCCAUAGAAAAAUUUGGAAAACUCUACUGAAUCGAUGUUUGUUCUAUGUUCUGGCAGCAGACUCAAAUCAGUGAUAUUUGGAUGAUUAUCUUAC
rnacentral:lncRNA from 1 species